UGGCGGACGGGUGAGUAACGCGUGGAAAACCUGCCGUAUACUGGGGGAUAACACUUAGAAAUAGGUGCUAAUACCGCAUAAGCGCACAGCUUCGCAUGAAGCGGNGUGAAAAACUCUGGUGGUAUACGAUGGUUCCGCGUCUGAUUAGCUAGUUGGUGGGGUAAUGGCCUACCAAGGCAACGAUCAGUAGCCGGCCUGAGAGGGUGAACGGCCACAUUGGGACUGAGACACGGCCCAAACUCCUACGGAAGGCAGCAG
rnacentral:rRNA from 1 species